CCAGACUCCUACGGGAGGCAGCAGUGGGGAAUAUUGCACAAUGGGGGAAACCCUGAUGCAGCAACGCCGCGUGAGUGAGGAAGUAUUUCGGUAUGUAAAGCUCUAUCAGCAGGGAAUAGAAAAGAAGGUACCUGAAAAAGAAGCCCCGGCUAACUACGUGCCAGCAGCCGCGGUAAUACGUAGGGGGCAAGCGUUAUCCGGAUUUACUGGGUGUAAAGGGGGCGCAGACGGCAGCGCAAGCCAGGAGUGAAAGCCCGGGGCCCAACCCCGGGACUGCUCUUGGAACUGCGCGGCUGGAGUGCAGGAGGGGCAGGCGGAAUUCCUGGUGUAGCGGUGAAAUGCGUAGAUAUCAGGAGGAACACCGGUGGCGAAGGCGGCCUGCUGGACUGCGACUGACGUUGAGGCCCGAAAGCGUGGGGAGCAAACAGGAUUAGAUACCCUCGUAG
rnacentral:rRNA from 1 species